rnacentral:lncRNA from 1 species
CAGAAAUUAAGACUAUUCAAACCCUCUAGUCCCAGGGACUAUUGAAGAAGAAGUGGAUAAGGUCUAGAUCUGUCACCCAGGCUGGAGUACAGUGGCAUAGUCCUAGCUCACUGCAACCUCCACCUCCCAGGCUCAAGUGAUCCUACCACCUCAGCCUCCUAAGAAGCUGGGACUAUAGAUGUGCACCAACACGCAUGGCUAAUUUUUGUAUUUUUUGUAGACACCGUGUUUCGCCAUGUUGCCCAGGCUGGUCUCAAACUCCUGAGCUCAAGCAGUCUGCCUGCCUAGACCGCCCAAAGUGCUGAGUUUACAGGUGCGAG